CAUGAAUGGAGAACCGAAUUAAACCCGAUUUCAACACUGAAAAGGGCACGCAGCUUUUACAGACUAUGAAGCGGGACGAUCACUUUGCGAGCCCAAGCAUCCAUCUCUAGACAUCAGGGCAGGAGCUUAAUGAAAUACGACCCAUGGUCUUAUGCUUUUGAAAGAAGAAGGUAGAUGAAUGCGGUUGUGCAGAAAGCUCAUCAUCCUGAGCUGCAGGAUUACAUCCACUCAACUGUUUCAGGGCUACUGUCUUUCAUCCAAAAGGUUGACCAUUCACUUCUAUUCUUGUCCUCUAUCUGCUAAAGAUGGUCCUAAAUUUCUUGUCUGCCCAUGUGCCAUUUAGAAUUGAUACCAAGUCCUUUUAUCAAAGGCAACCUUGAACGGUGCAUUAUUUCUUUCACAUGGCUACUUCUUGCUUGGCUUUAGGAAAAGUGAGCGUUGCUUCUGAUUGGCACCAGUGAAGGAAACUAUUGGGUUCUGUAGUUGUAAGUAUAAGACGUAAAGAUUAAAUUUGGCUCAGUUCUUUACGAGUUUAUCUUGGUAUAACAUGUUACAAAUGCAGUUAACUAUGAGAUCCCACCUAAGUUAGAGA